ACGGCUGCUAAUAUUUUCACAGGCCCUGGGUCUGCUAGUGCUAAGGGUUUUUUCUUCCCAGCUUUUAAAAUGUAACACUGACUUUCUUUCUCUAUCUAUGGGAGGGACUCUAGGAUCACUGGGAAUUUCCCAAGGGGAACACUUUUCUGUAUAAAAAAGGAGCAGAUGAGAGACGUUUGAUGUUUGAUGUUUCAAAAACUGGUAUAAAACUAAUUAGUUUAAAAAAGUGCGGUUUGUUCCUGCAUUUAUCUCACCAUGGAACCACACUCAGCAAAGGGCACUGUGACCUCUGCGGGGGAAAUGGGAACAACCUGACACCUGAUCUGAAUUUUCUGGCCUGAAGGAAAUGUUGUUAUGAAGAUCACUGGUGUUUCCUGAAAUGAUAUCACUAUUUCCUGUCUGAAGAGCCAUGGGGGAAAACAAAGAACACCUAUGCAUGGAAUUUUUGCUCUGCAGCAAGAAGUCAACCCACUGGGCUCUGAGUCAUUGGUGAUUCAGUUUGCUUGAGAAAAUCUGAGAGAACACAUGCACAUGUGCAUACACACACCAGUAUGUACAUGGGGAAAUAUACCAAAUGAGAACAGAGGUAUGGGUCCCUGGUUCUUCUGGAGUUUCCACUAUACUUGCUUCUGUCCAUUUUGGUGCUUAUCCCUGGGCCGCAAGCUGUUGUUCACUGUGGUGAGCUAUCACCUAAGGUGUCAGACACAUUUCCACAAGCAGGUGUGCCAGAGCUAGUGAUGGUGUGGCUG